rnacentral:rRNA from 1 species
GGUCUGGUGGCGAGUGGCGAACGGGUGAGUAAUGUAUCGGAACGUGCCUAGUAGCGGGGGAUAACUACGCGAAAGCGUAGCUAAUACCGCAUACGCCCUACGGGGGAAAGCAGGGGAUCGCAAGACCUUGCACUAUUAGAGCGGCCGAUAUCGGAUUAGCUAGUUGGUGGGGUAACGGCUCACCAAGGCGACGAUCCGUAGCUGGUUUGAGAGGACGACCAGCCACACUGGGACUGAGACACGGCCCAGACUCCUACGGGAGGCAGCAGUGGGGAAUUUUGGACAAUGGGGGAAACCCUGAUCUAGCCAUCCCGCGUGUGCGAUGAAGGCCUUCGGGUUGUAAAGCACUUUUGGCAGGAAAGAAACGUCAUGGGCUAAUACCCCGUGAAACUGACGGUACCUGCAGAAUAAGCACCGGCUAACUACGUGCCAGCAGCCGCGGUAAUACGUAGGGUGCAAGCGUUAAUCGGAAUUACUGGGCGUAAAGCGUGCGCAGGCGG